rnacentral:SRP_RNA from 1 species
GCCUGGCAUGUUAUCACGUGCUUUCAAUCUCUGCUACCAGGGAGGCCAACCUUAGUGGAUCAGUUGAGCUUUGGAUUUGCAAGCUACAGGAGGUCUAAAGCUGAUCCAGUGUGUGCACUAAGUCUGGCACCAAUAUGGUGGACUCCUCAGGAGGAGGGGAGCCAGCAUGCUGACUAAGGAGGGACAAACUUGCCCAGGUCAAAAACAGAAGAGGCUAAAGUUCCAUGCCUAUCAAUAGUGGAAUGAGGCCUGCGAGUGACCAUUAUAGAUACAGUCAGAGCUAGAAAGAGACAGGC